GCUGACUAAGAGAUGGGCCCAAUUUAAACACAAAUAAAUAACGACUUGACAUUUGAAGUGCAUCGCCAUCGCAGCAAAGCCCCAGCACCUGCAUCUGGAUAUCAAAAGCCAGCAAGAAAACCACAACACUAAAAAUCCACUCAUUUAUUCUAUUGGGUGUAGAGAAUGAUUAUGAGUUUUGCCUAAUCUGAACACAAAUGUAAACGCAAAAUAAUUAU
rnacentral:sRNA from 1 species